GCCUCAGUAGCUCAGUUGGUAGAGUGUUACCUUGGUAAGGUAGAGGUCCUGAGUUCAAAUCUCAGCUGAGGCU
rnacentral:tRNA from 1 species